UGCAGUCGAACGCGAACGAGUUCUUCGGAACUCAAGUAGAGUGGCGCACGGGUGAGUAACGCGUAAGUAAUCUACCUCUGCAUUCGGGAUAACCCAUCGAAAGGUGUGCUAAUACCGGAUACGUUUAUUUAUAUGCGAGUAUAGAUAAAGAAAGAUGGCCUCUUUUUUAUGCUAUUGUGCAGGGACGAGCUUGCGUACCAUCAGCUAGUUGGUGGGGUAAAGGCCUACCAAGGCGACGAUGGUUAGCGGGUCUGAGAGGAUGAUCCGCCACACUGGAACUGGAACACGGACCAGACUCCUACGGGAGGCAGCAGUGAGGAAUAUUGCGCAAUGGGGGAAACCCUGACGCAGCGACGCCGCGUGGAUGAUGAAGGCUUUCGAGUCGUAAAAUCCUGUCAGAUGGGAAGAAGUGCUAUGGACUUAAUACGUUU
rnacentral:rRNA from 1 species